rnacentral:pre_miRNA from 1 species
UGUGUACUCCCUCCGUUCCAAAAUACUUGACUUCCAUUUGUCCAAAAAUGGAUGUGCCUAUAUACUAAAACAUGUCUAGAUACAUAUAUAUUUUGACAAAUAGAAGGCAUGUAUUUUGCAAUGGAGGGAGUAGAAU